rnacentral:sRNA from 12 species
UCGAGGAGGAAACAAAAUGAACGAAGUUCAUUUUUGGUAAAUGUUUCCGACGAAUAGCCGCCGCCAUAAGGGAGGUGGGAAUACAUAUU